rnacentral:rRNA from 1 species
AUUGAACGCUGGCGGCAGGCUUAACACAUGCAAGUCGAGCGGAGAUGAGGUGCUUGCACCUUAUCUUAGCGGCGGACGGGUGAGUAAUGCUUAGGAAUCUGCCUAUUAGUGGGGGACACCAUUCCGAAAGGAAUGCUAAUACCGCAUACGUCCGACGGGAGACAGCAGGGGAUCUUCGGACCUUGCGCUAAAUCAUGAGCCUAAGUCGGAAUAUCUAGUUGGUGGGGUAAAGGCGUCCCAAGGCGACGAUCGGUAGCGGGUCUGAGAGGAGGAUCCGGCACACUGGGACUGAGACACGGCCCAGACUCCUACGGGAGGCAGCAGUGGGGAAUAUUGGACAAUGGGCGGAAGCCUGAUCCAGCCAUGCCGCGUGUGUGAAGAAGGCCUUUUGGUUGUAAAGCACUUUAAGCGAGGAGGAGGCUACUAGUACUAAUACUACUGGAUAGUGGACGUUACACGCAGAAUAAGCACCGGCUAACUACGUGCCAGCCGCCGCAGUAACAC